GCAUUUAUGGUGUAAUUGGCAACAUAGUAGAUUUCCAAUCUACAGUUUCGAGUUCAAAUCUCGAUAAAUGCU
rnacentral:tRNA from 1 species